GUUGACCUCGGAUCAGGUAGGGAUACCCGCUGAACUUAAGCAUAUCAAUAAGCGGAGGAAAAGAAACCAACAGGGAUUGCCCUAGUAACGGCGAGUGAAGCGGCAAUAGCUCAAAUUUGAAAGCUGGCCUUUGGUCCGCAUUGUAAUUUGUAGAGGAUGCUUUUAGGCAGCCGCCGGUCUAAGUUCCUUGGAACAGGACGUCAUAGAGGGUGAGAAUCCCGUAUGUGACCGGCUCUGGCACCUUAUGUAAAGCUCCUUCGACGAGUCGAGUUGUUUGGGAAUGCAGCUCUAAAUGGGAGGUAAAUUUCUUCUAAAGCUAAAUACCGGCGAGAGACCGAUAGCGCACAAGUAGAGUGAUCGAAAGAUGAAAAGCACUUUGGAAAGAGAGUUAAAAAGCACGUGAAAUUGUUGAAAGGGAAGCGCUUGCAAUCAGACUUGGACUUGGCUGUUCAACCGGUCUUCUGACCGGCCUACUCAGUCUUGUCCAGGCCAGCAUCAGUUUCGGCGGCCGGAUAAAGGCCUUGGGAAUGUAGCUGUCCCUUCGGGGGCAGUGUUAUAGCCCAGGGUGUAAUACGGCCAGCUGGGACUGAGGUCCGCGCUUCGGCUAGGAUGCUGGCGUAAUGGUUGUAAGCGGCCCGUCUUGAAACACGGACCAAGGAGUCUAACAUCUAUGCGAGUGUUAGGGUGUCAAACCCUUACGCGUAAUGAAAGUGAACGGAGGUGGGAACCCGCAAGGGUGCACCAUCGACCGAUCCUGAUGUCUUCGGAUGGAUUUGAGUAAGAGCAUAGCUGUUGGGACCCGAAAGAUGGUGAACUAUGCCUGAAUAGGGUGAAGCCAGAGGAAACUCUGGUGGAGGCUCGCAGCGGUUCUGACGUGCAAAUCGAUCGUCAAAUUUGGGUAUAGGGGCGAAAGACUAAUCGAACCAUCUAGUAGCUGGUUCCUGCCGA
rnacentral:rRNA from 1 species